GUUUAGCCCUGAUUGCAGCAAUUGUUUGAGCUCUUUUUUAGAGCAGUUUCGAUUGUAAAUUUUGAAGAAUGAAAAAUUGCAAUUCGAACAAACUAAAAAAAGCGAGUGCGGAAAGCAGGAAAUAGC
rnacentral:misc_RNA from 1 species